UUUCGACCUGAGGUCAGGCAAGAACACCCGCUGAACUUAAGRAUAUCAAUAAGCGGAGGAAAAGAAACUAACUA
rnacentral:rRNA from 1 species